AUGGAGACACCUACUACUGGGAUACGUUUAAGGGUGGCCGUGACCCUGCUGGAGUGCGGAGGGGACCUCCAGCCCCCCGGGGGGUCCCUGCGCCUUCUCUGCCGAGGGUCCGGGUUCAGUUUUGGGGAUUAUGGAAUGUACUGGAUCCGCCAGAGACCCGGGCAGGCUUUGGAAUACAUCGCAGGAAUCUACUUAAAUAGUGCCAACACCUUCUACGCGCCGUCGGUCAAGGGCCAGUUCAGGAUCUCCAGGGACAACGGGCAGAGCUCGGUGACGCUGACCAUGAACAACCUCAAGGACAAGGAUUCCACUGUUUUGUUCUGCGCCAAGUGUGCUGCUAAUAAUUACCCUGAACAUGCUGCUCCAACGCCAACCACGAAGCCACAAAGCCCUUAA